UCCACAGUAUAUAUCAAGAAAGAUACGACGUCGGAAAUGAAUCAUAUCUUUUUGUUCAAAAGGGAAGGAAUCACCAUGAGUAAGGCAAUCGGCAUAUUUCAUCACGAAUACCCCACAAUCAACCGAGCUUAAAGUUUUCCUGAACCGCAAUAUCAGUA